GUUGCUCAGACAAGAAAGAGGGUCGUCGUCGACGUAGUCGAUCACAGGGGCAUCAGCAGCCGUCACGGGGUCUACCGAAGAGAAGAUAGGGAAGAAACAGGAAAUACACGCAAACAUAUGCAUAACAAGACAAAGCAGUGGUAGAGGUGAUCUAACGUGGCGUUAGGCGAUACUGGCGAAGAGGGAAAACAUCCAGGAAAGUUUUCCCGGUUCCGGACGUCUGUCACACAGAUGAACCGGAGGGGAAAGAUUGCAUGUUCGCUAUGCUAGGGAUGUGUGGCGGACGAACGGAGGGAGUAUUCGGAUUCGUCUCAUCGUUCUGAGCAAUUUUCAUGUAUAAAGUUUUUCGAUCCGAGUUACGGUUUAAUUUCUAUUGAUUUUCAAAGAUUUAAACAAUUCUCGAAAUCAUUAUUAAUUCAGAAUAAAAGGUGAGAUUGCUAUGUGCACCCGGCAGAGUGUAUACAGCAGGGUCACUAGAGGCUGACAGUGGGUCCAGGGGGUCCCAGUUGACUCAGUCAACAGUGCAGUCAACAGUCAACUGUUUGACUGUUGACUGGUCAAAACUGUAGAUGGGGCCUAGAUGUCAUAUACACAUAUCUUGCAUUUUAUUUUUACGUGGAUAUUUAGAGGGGGGUCCACCUGUCAUUUGCACUAUACAUAACCACUAAUUAGACUAACUAGUAGGAGUACUAAUUAGCUAACGGAGAGCCGGCCAGCCACCACACACACAUAAUACACGCACGCACACACAGUUCUGUUUUUUUGCUAACAAAAGAUAGCCUUUUGUGAUUUUCAUAGGAUUUAUUCCAUGCAUCAAAUGGAUUUGGUCCAGUGGGGUAAAAUGGAGUUUGUCAAGUAGACUACCUACUCAUAUUAUUUUUACCACUGUUAGCAGUUGUUUAACUGCUGAUUAGAGGCUGCCAAGGGAGCUAGUCCGUGUAUUAUUCGCAAAGCUAGCCAUAUAGCUACACUAAUUAGCAGCAGCAGUAGAUUCAGCAGAGCAGCGGCGGCAUGCACACGAGUUGGGCGCAGGGCGCGGCGUUGCAUGGCAUGAGCAUGGGCCGCUGAGUGAUGCAGGGCGAGGGGCCGAUGCAGGCCGCGGUUGCAGGGCGGCUGGACGCAGGGCCGGGCGCGGCGGCUCACAGGGGCGUCCGGGAGCGCGACAACGCCGGGGCGGACGCGUGCGUCGAGGCGUAGCCGGGCGCAAGGCAGGGCGCGACCAAGAGCGGCUGCGGGCGCGCUGCGAGGAGCAGGGGCACGGGGAUGGGCAGGCGAGCCUGCGCUCGGACGCAAAGCGUCGGCAUGGCGGCCAGGCUCAUGAGGACGAUGAUACGACGACGAAUCAAGCAAGGAAAAGAGGGGGGAUGGGGAAAGGAGCUCACAACAGGGCGGACGGAGUUCUCGGGGAGGCCGUGGAGGACGGGACGACGCAGAUCGACAGCGAGGACGCGGCGGCCGUAGUUGAGGAAGAAGGUGCAGACGACGUGGCGGCGAUCUCCCAGCUCCGAUCCGGAGUUGUAGUCGAUGAAGGCAGCUCCCGCGGGGCUUCUGGACAUGGAGAGGUGGCUAGGGGCGCACGGUGGCCACGGUGGUCGUCGACAACGGCGACGACGGCGCUGGGGGCGAGCGGAUCUGAAGGGGGAAGAAGGUGGAUCUGGAGGAGGAGAGGCGAGCGAGUGCGCGUGGGGAAGCGAGGAGGAUAUUUUGGGCGAGCGGGGAGGGUCCAGCGCGGCUCUUAUCCCCUCACCGGGGCGUCGCCGGCGAGGUGGCUUAGUGGCGACGGACGCGCGGUGUCCUGCCCGGUCGGAGGAACAGGAGGGCGACCGGGGAGGUGGGCUGCUGCG
rnacentral:lncRNA from 1 species